GCCACGGUGGCCUAGUGGUUAGAGCUUCCGCCUCGGAUGCUGGAGUUCACGGGUUUGAACCCCGACCGAGUCA